GAUGAAGAACGCAGCGAAAUGCGAUACGUAAUGUGAAUUGCAGAAUUCAGUGAAUCAUCGAAUCUUUGAACGCAUAUUGCGCUCUUUGGUAUUCCGAAGAGCAUGCUUGUUUGAGUAUCAGUAAACACCUCAAAGUCUUUUUUUUUUCUUGAAGAAAAAGACCUUGGACUUGAGCAAUCCCAACUCUUCUUUCAGAAGAGGCGGGUUGCUUGAAAUGCAGGUGCAGCUGGACAUUCUCCUGAGCUAAAAGCAUAUUCAUUUAGUCCCGUCUAACGGAUUAUUACUUUUGCUGCAGCUAACAUAAAGGGAGUUUGACCAUUUUGGCUGACUGAUGCAGGAAUUUCACAAGAGUCUUCAAAACGCUCUUGUUAAACUCGAUCUCAAAUCAAGUAAGACUACCCGCUGAACUUAAGCAUAUCAAUAAGCGGAGGA
rnacentral:misc_RNA from 1 species